rnacentral:rRNA from 1 species
UACGGGGGGGGCAAGCGUUGUCCGGAAUCAUUGGGCGUAAAGCGCGUGUAGGCGGUUCGGUAAGUCGGCUGUGAAAGUCCAGGGCUCAACCCUGGGAUGCCGGUCGAUACUGCCGGACUAGAGUUCGGAAGAGGCGAGUGGAAUUCCCGGUGUAGCGGUGAAAUGCGCAGAUAUCGGGAGGAACACCAAUGGCGAAGGCAGCUCGCUGGGACGUUACUGACGCUGAGACGCGAAAGCGUGGGGAGCAAACAGG